rnacentral:rRNA from 1 species
GACGAACGCUGGCGGCGUGCUUAACACAUGCAAGUCGAACGGAAAGGCCCCUUUUGGGUUUCUCGAGUGGCGGACGGGUGGGUAACACGUGCGUAACCAGCCCUUCCCUUCGGGAUAACUUCAGGCAACUGGGGCUAAUGCCUGCUGGGAAUCCUUUCCGCAUGGUGGGGGUUGGAAAGCUACGGCGGUCUUGGAUGGACUAGCGGGCUAUCAGCUUGUUGGUUGGGUAGUGGCUUACCAAGGCUUUGACGGGUAGCCGGCCUGGGUGGGCGACCGGCCACAUUGGGACUGAGGAACGGCCCAGACUCCUACGGGAGGCAACAGGGGGGAAAUUUGGACAAUGGGCGGAAGGCUGAUGGAGCAACGCCGCGGGGGGGAUGACGGGCUUCGGGGUGGAAAACGCUUUCAGCAGGGGAGGAGCUUGUGGUGACGGUACCUGCAGAAGAAGCACCGGCUAACUACGUG